GACGAACGCUGGCGGCGUGCUUAACACAUGCAAGUCGAACGGAAAGGCCCUGCUUUUGUGGGGUGCUCGAGUGGCGAACGGGUGAGUAACACGUGAGUAACCUGCCCUUGACUUUGGGAUAACUUCAGGAAACUGGGGCUAAUACCGGAUAGGAGCUCCUGCUGCAUGGGGGGGGUUGGAAAGUUUCGGCGGUUGGGGAUGGACUAGCGGCUUAUCAGCUUGUUGGUGGGGUAGUGGCUUACCAAGGCUUUGACGGGUAGCCGGCCUGAGAGGGUGACCGGCCACAUUGGGACUGAGAUACGGCCCAGACGCCUACGGGAGGCAGCAGUGGGAAAUAUUGCACAAUGGGCGGAAGCCUGAUGCAGCAACGCCGCGUGCGUGAUAACGGCCUUCGGGUUGUAAACCGCUUUCGCCUGUGACGAAGCGUGAGUGACGGUAAUGGGUAAAGAAGCACCGGCUAACUACGUG
rnacentral:rRNA from 1 species